UUCCUCAAGCUCGGUGCUAGUUUUGCUAAAAUGGCUGAAAGAGAACUUCUCAGCAGGGUAAAAAACUGCAGGAUUGGGAUUACUGUCCUUAGGUGAAACGGUUCCCUUGGGAAAAAUCCUAGACAAGCUGCCCCUGACAACCUACUGGAAAAUAAGAGGGGUUUUGUUUGCUUUUUGAAAGUCCAGAAUACUUUAUUUAUUUUUAGGUCUCUGGCAAUGAAUCUGGCUGCCUUAGGGAUGGUUAAGCUCUUCUUAAAUUCAAGUGAGGCUCCUUGUUUUUCCUCCAACACCAAGAUGGCAGCAAUAGUUUUGAUCCCACAGACCUGUCAGAUCAGGUAUAUUCUCCAGGAAAGUCUUUUUCAUCUGGCUGCCAUACCCCAAUUAUGCAUAAUAUGAAAUAAAAAUAUGCUCCCUCGUGUGACAGCCAUCUCCCCAUAAAUGAAAAUAUAUGCUUUAUUUUGCAACAGCCGUCUUCAAUGCUAAUGAGCAAGAAAGGAAAGGGGAUUAAGUGGCAUUUAAAUCAUAUUCACCUCCUACCUGAGAACAGAGCCAGAGAAAGCAGUCACAGUCAGCUGGUCAAAACGUCCAAAGCCUGAACCAGGAAUUGCCAGCUACUUAGGAGGGACUGGGAGGAGGGAGAGGUAAAAAGGGGAAUGUUUUCCUCUAGAUCCGUGCUGCUAAGAGAUGGUGUAGGCUAAGCACAUGGCUUGCAGCCAGCAGAGGCAUCAGAUGCUGCGAUGAUAAAAGCCUGGUUAAUAACAUUUAGCACCGACAAAGGGUUUUCAAGGGAAAGAGACUUUUGUCCUGGGAAGGAUGGAAGCAGUGUCACCUGUUAGACCCAUUUUCGGGUUGUUUCAGGAGAAAUUACAGUGUCGUGAGUUUCUCUCCGCUUCCAAAUGCCGAGCGUGACAGGGAUGGGGCAAGCCACAGGUUUCUAAAGCCAAAAUAGCUGGUAGUGUGACUGCUUGUAAAAUGCAGAUACUGAUUUUGGGGAGAUUUUAGUGGUGAGUCUGUGGUGGUGGACCAAAAAGAAAAAAAAAUAGCAAGCUCACGUGUUUGAUAUGUGGGGAAAGAGGCAAACUUGAUCCGCCCCAAAUGAGGAGAGAAACUGCAUUUACCUGUGCCUUUCCCCUGUUGCACUGUUUACCGCGACAGGUUCUCUCCAUCUGCGGAUGGUCCGAUGCCACCGUCGUGCUUGCAU
rnacentral:lncRNA from 1 species